UAAAACACCAAAUACUGCUCAACAUGAAAGGACACGCAUCCACUUGGGUGUCGCUUAGUGAUCAAUGAAAUGAAUUGAGCACCUUGAGGUCCCAGGUUCAAAUUUCAAGUCCAGAGACAAAAAAACACUAGGUGAUUUCUUUCCAUCUGUUCUACCCAGAGUUACCUAGUGGGAGGUGCCAGGUAUCCAUGGAAUUAAUUAAGGUGCUCAAAA
rnacentral:misc_RNA from 1 species